AGCACUACAACCUCGAGAGGUCCUCGGCCUGCCAUUUCUGGCUUUCUUUUGUGUGUCCUGGAUAGGGCCGAUGUCCUGGAUAGGGCCCGAUUGAUAAGGCUCACUGAAUCUCUGAACAGUGCAUGGUACGUAUGUACAUACAUCAGUUAAAGUCUGAUCUUUCCAGUUUCCAAACAAAUGGAGGAGGAAGAAAAAAAGAUCAUUCAUCAUAAGCUUGCCAAAGGGGUCUAAGGGGUCCCUGCAAAGACGCAAGCACACACGCACAACAUCGAUGGAUGAGCAUACGGAAAAUUAAUGAUCUCGAAGCGAAGUGGUCAACCGGUUCCUCCUUCCUUGUUGCUCAAGGAUUGUUGCCAUGCCUGGCUAGGCUUUUUAAUUAAAUGCAGCGUGAAACGCAUUGUUUUGCAUACACUGUGCGGGCUGGCUGGCUGUAUCAAAUGUGUCUCGAAGCACAAUUACAAAAUUUAAAAAAAAUACAACGAGCUGUAUAAAAUUGAGAACUGAAUAAAAUCUUUCUUUCCAAACGUU